UGAACAUAAUGAUCAACACAUAACAUUCAAACAACUUCACUGAUGCUUGACUUAUGCUUACUGCCUAGUGACAUAUAGAACGACAUUAAGGUAAGGGUUAAAACAGGGGAAUCAUAUACACGUAACAACAGAUUCUAUAUCAAGUGUUCAACACAUAACACGCUGGAUCGAAAUAAAAGAAUGUAGGAGGACGUGAAAUUACCUUUCUUGGAGCAGCAAA
rnacentral:lncRNA from 1 species